GUCGUUGCCAUGGAUCCUGGGGACGACUGGCUGGUGGAAUCCUUGCGCUUGUAAAUCGUACCAGGAUUUCUAUGCAUUCGACCUGUCAGGAGCCACUCGAGUCCUUGAAUGGAUUGAUGACAAAGGAGUCUUUGUUGCUGGCUAUGAAAGCCUGAAAAAGAAUGAAAUUCUUCAUCUGAAAUUACCUCUCAGACUUUCUGUAAAGGAAAACAAGGGCUUAUUCCCAGAAAGAGAUUUCAAAGUGCGCCAUGGAGGAUUUUCAGACAGGUCUAUCUUUGAUCUAAAGCAUGUGCCACAUACCAGAUUGCUGGUUACCAGUGGCCUUCCAGGUUGUUAUCUGCAGGUGUGGCAGGUUGCAGAGGACAGUGAUGUCAUUAAAGCUGUCAGCACCAUUGCUGUGCAUGAGAAAGAGGAGAGUCUCUGGCCUAGGGUGGCCGUCUUCUCCACAUUGGCACCCGGAGUCCUCCAUGGGGCGAGGCUCCGAAGUCUGCAGGUCGUUGAUCUGGAGUCCCGGAAGACCACGUACACCUCAGGUGUUGGGGAUACACAGUGAAUAAGAGGUAAGCCCUGGCCUCUAAGGGC
rnacentral:misc_RNA from 1 species